GGCAGUUGUGGCGCCCGCCGUCUAUUUACAUCCAGUGUGCCACAUAGCCCCGUCCCCCACCCCUCGCUCGUUCACUGACAAGAUCUCGCGCGAAGAUAAACAGAAGCGGUUGUCUUUCCCUCCUUGUAGCUGGCCGAUCUCCAAUCCGGCGCCUCGCCUCGCGGCUCCGUUCACGAUGAGGGGAGCAAGAUCGACGGCUGGGCAGCCGCCGGAGCGGGAGAUUCGUUGGUAGCUGUUCACCAUAGUUGGGGCGACCCUGGUGGCGAGGGGAGCAGAAACAGCGCUCCUGCUGACUCCGGCGAGUCGGCAGUGAAGCCAGAUCAAAAGGGUUCGCGUAGGAGCAAAUCCAAUAGAGCGGACGCCUUAUCCUGGUAGAAUGGGUGGCCUGGAAAAGUCGAUACGUGGUUUUGCAGAACGAGACGAUAGGGGAAAAGUCGGCUAAACCCUGACAAAAGGAAGACCAUGCAGGAGAUUGUAUGUGGAUGCUCGGAAGGUUUGUUUCUCUUUUAAAUAAAGAAAGGACAAGCAACCUAGCCAAUAUACAAAAGCAAAAAAAAGGUAAAGCAUGCGUGCAUCAUCAGCCACAUCAACAAAAAUCUAGGACAUCUUUAUCUGAUGUUGAUGUUAUGCACGGUCCAGAAAUGUAGCGUCAGUCCACAAUCAAAAAGCAUAGCACAAGUCUCGUCGUUACAAUCAUUGAUCAUAUCAUGUCUUCGUCUAUAAAAUGAGGCAUUAUAGCGCGAGUUACUUAUUACACACCACAAGCACGAGGGCUCCUUCUUUGCUAUGAUUUGCUGACGUUGCCUAUAGUUCAAAGGUAGGUUACACUGGAAGUACGUAUGAUCAUCUUAUUUAAAGGAAAAGUACAGACAUUUAGCUGUAUGUAUAGAUCAUAAUUCCAAUCAACUUGUUAAUUUUUUAUUAACAUUGUUAAUGUAGAUUAAUUUUUUUUAUCUAAACAACGACUCGCUCAUAGGUAUUAUUUUUAAUUUAAUUUGCAAUUGCUUUAAACAAUACUUUUAGCUAACAAUCAUUGUGAAACUGACUUUCAUUUCUUUAGAUUUUUUUGCAUAGUAAUGCACGUUGGACCAUUUCAUACAGACUAUUAUGCUGUAGUUGGCAUGAGAGAAAUAACAAUAGUCGCUAGCAAUUAUGAUAUAGUUUUUUUUUUGACUUUUUGUAAGAAACUUGAUUUAUAUGAGGAAGAUCUCAAACAAACAUAGUACACCAAUGCUAUUCUUGAGGUCUUUAACAUGAAAAUUCAUGAUGCAUCAAGUAAAUUUAUAAGUUUCAUUUCUUUGGAUAGUUAAUAUAGUGACGAGAAGAAUCAAAUGGAUUAUAAAUCAAAGUUAUAUACUUACUUGAUGCAUCAUCAAUCUUUAUGUUGGAGGCAUCGAGAAUAACAUCGAUAUACUCUGCUUGUUUGAGAUCUUUCUUGUAUAAAUUAAGUUUUUGCCAAAAAGUUGAAUAAAACUAUAUCAUAAUUGCUAGCGAUAAUUGCUAUUUCUCUUAUGCCAUUUACGGUAUAACAGUUCGUAUGAAGUGGGCCGACGUACAUUACUAUGCCAGAAACAUCUAAAGAAAUGAAAGUCGGUUUUCUUAAUGAUCGUUAGCUAAAAGUAUUGUUUAAAGCAAAUGCAAAUUUAAUUAAAAAUAAUAUAUGUGAGCGAGCCAUUGUUUAGAUCAAAAAAAUUCAUUUGCAUUAACAAUGUUAAUAAAAGAAUUAGCAAACUAAUUGGAAUUAUGAUCUACACGUAUAACUAAAUCUCUGUGUUUCUUUCUUAAAUAAGAUGAUCGUACUUCGGCAACCCACAUUUGAACCAUGGGCGGCGGUAGCAAAUCGUAGCAAAGAAGGAGCCCUCUCGUGCUUAUGAUGUGUACUAAGUAACUCGCGCUACAAGGCUUCGUUUUAUAGAGGAAGACAUGCUAUGAUCAAUGGUUGGAGCAACGGGACUUGCGCUAUGAUUUUUGAUCAUGGACCGACGCUAUACUUCUGGACUGUGUAUAGCGUCAACAUCAGAUGGGGGCGUCUUAGAUUUUUGUUGGUGCAGCUACUGGUGCAUGCAUGCUUUAUCUUUUUUUGUUUUUAUAUUGGCUAGGCUGCUUGACUUUUUUAUUUGUAAGAGAAACAAGCUUUCGUACAUGCUAGGUUUCUCUUCAUGGCUUUCGAUGAGAGUGGACAUACUUUAAUUUACUUGUAUUAAAAGAAAAAAGGUGUACUCAUGCAAAUUGACUUUCAUCAUGCAAGGCAAAAUAAGAUGCUAAAAAAGUAGGGCAAAAUCAACUCAGCACAUUGAACACGUCAAUUUUGUGGCCAUUCGCUUGACCUGAACCGUACAAUAUACAGAAGGUAGGGUUUGAUGAAUAUAUAUAUAGGUAGUGUUUGGUAACUUUGGUUGGUGGAUACCGAUCGAGGGUUUACAUAUAAUUGACAUUAUUAUUUUUCCGGCGCGAAAACAUAUUGCAUCGCAAAAUUCAUGUUUAUAAAUAUAUAGCCAUAACAUAUGGCAAAUACAAUAAACAAAUUCAUGGAGAUGAAUAAAUAUUUUUUGAUAAAAAAAGACAGUUUGACUACUGGUGUGUAGAGAUCAAGUCCACUUUAUUAUCUCUUAUUAACUUCCUACUUGAGACACUUGAGAAUUUGUCGUACAUCAUAUGGGAUGUUGUCUUCAGCUUCAUUCGCAUGAUACUCGAGCAAGUGUAUCAAAAAAAUUCUUUCUCAGCUCAUAACCAUUCUGCAUGAGCAAUGUAUCUCAGGAGCAUGCAAUUAUGCUUCAAACUUUUUAUUAACAUGUGCUAUAGGAUGCUUACUAUGCAAAUUGGACGAACAAAUUUGUUACCUUACCAUGUGAGCAUAAAAUGGAAAACAAAAUAACCAGAUUCAUCCGUGUAGAUGAAAUACACUAUCAUUAUUUUGGGAGUUAAUGACAAUAAAUAUAAAAUGUGCAUAGUGAUUUUCAUAGCAACUACCGAUCUAGGCUCGUUGGAACAUCAAUUGUUGAUUUAUGUGGCAAAAAAAAAUAUCACACUUCCAACCUGGUUGUGCUAAUUCGAGUGCAUCAUUCAGGUAGAAUGCAAUCCUCUAAAAAUUUAAUGCAUGUCUCUCCGGGGAUAAGGACGGAAAAAAUUGGUCCAAAAUAGAUACUUGACGGGCAUGUUUGUUGAUUGCGAACAAGAUGUAGUUGCCAAGGAAUGCAUGAGGAAGCAAUAUCUACAAGCAACACUCAUUAAGAAUAAACAUUUAUCACGACAACCAAUAAAAUAGACCAAACUUACCCAAUUGCAUGAUAAGAUUUUGUGGUCUAUCUUAGUCCAGCUACGAAGCAAUGAUGCUAGCGUCUGAAUAUCUGGCUGUACCCGCAAAUCUAAAUCUCGCGCGGAAGCAACGGUGGCCUCGGUUAAAGCCAUCUCGAUGAAAAAUGGUUAAGAAACAUGAUGGUGACAAUGAUAAUAUAAUGUGUGAUUGUGUACAGAAAAUUGUAGAUCCAUAAAUUGCACCGGAGGAUCUACUGUCAGUAAGGGCUUUUCACGUGGAAGUAUACGUAUACCAUGUUGAAACAAUCAAUGUCCAACGGCUGGUCCCGGUGGAGUAUACCUUGAAUCCUUCUGAGACUUAAUCCUAUCGGAUGGUGUUUAGAGCUUCGCACCCAUUCCUUUUUGUAGCAUCAUUAAUUGACAUGAUGUGGUUGCAUAUUUUGUCAACUAAAUCAUGCGCGUCUGUGCCCAUGAUGGGGGUCGGAAGGGGGCUUUUGUCUUCGGCUCCAUGAGGUGAAUCUUGCCGCUUACUCUUGCGAUCCUUCAGGAACUUAAGAUCGUACUUUUUCUUCAUUGUGAGGCUAGUAGUACAUUGGACUUCCUUUUAACUUAUUAAGUCAUGUCUCCAACAUUAUGACAACUAAUUUUCAUGAAAAUUCUUUCAUGUUCUCUUGCAUAUAGUAAUUAAAAA